rnacentral:rRNA from 1 species
GACGAACGCUGGCGGCGUGCUUAACACAUGCAAGUCGAACGGAAAGGCCUCCACCUUGGUGGGGGUGCUCGAGUGGCGAACGGGUGAGUAACACGUGGGUGAUCUGCCCUGUACUUCGGGAUAAGCUUGGGAAACUGGGUCUAAUACCGGAUAGGACCAUGGUUUAGUGUCUCAUGGUGGAAAGAUUUUUUGGUGCAGGAUGAGCUCGCGGCCUAUCAGCUUGUUGGUGGGGUAAUGGCCUACCAAGGCGUCGACGGGUAGCCGGCCUGAGAGGGUGGACGGCCACAUUGGGACUGAGAUACGGCCCAGACUCCUACGGGAGGCAGCAGUGGGGAAUACUGCACAAUGGGCGCAAGCCUGAUGCAGCGACGCCGCGUGGGGGAUGACGGCCUUCGGGUUGUAAACUCCUUUCGUUAGGGACGAAGCCGCACCUUUUUUGGGUGUGGUGACGGUACCUUUGUUAAGAAGCACCGGCUAACUACGUGCCAGCAGCCGCGGUAAUACGUAGGGUGCGAGCGUUGUCCGGAAUUACUGGGCGUAAAGAGCUCGUAGGUGGUUUGUUGCGUCGUCUGUGAAAUUCCGGGGCUUAACUUCGGGGUGGCAGGCGAUACGGGCAUAACUAGAGUGCUGUAGGGGAGACUGGAAUUCCUGGUGUAGCGGUGGAAUGCGCAGAUAUCAGGAGGAACACCGAUGGCGAAGGCAGGUCUCUGGGCAGUAACUGACGCUGAGGAGCGAAAGCAUGGGGAGCGAACAGGAUUAGAUACCCUGGUAGUCCAUGCUGUAAACGGUGGGCGUUAGGUGUGGGGACCGGUUUGGUUUCUGUGCCGUAGCUAACGCAUUAAGCGCCCCGCCUGGGGAGUACGGCCGCAAGGCUAAAACUCAAAGGAAUUGACGGGGGCCCGCACAAGCGGCGGAGCAUGUGGAUUAAUUCGAUGCAACGCGAAGAACCUUACCUGGGUUUGACAUGCACCAGACGGUUGUAGAGAUACGUACCUCCCUUUGUGGUUGGUGUGCAGGUGGUGCAUGGUUGUCGUCAGCUCGUGUCGUGAGAUGUUGGGUUAAGUCCCGCAACGAGCGCAACCCUUGUCUUAUGUUGCCAGCACUUUGGGUGGGGACUCAUGAGAGACUGCCGGGGUUAACUCGGAGGAAGGUGGGGAUGACGUCAAAUCAUCAUGCCCUUUAUGCCCAGGGCUUCACACAUGCUACAAUGGUUAGUACAACGCGCUGCGAGCCUGUGAGGGUGAGCGAAUCGCUGAAAGCUAAUCUCAGUUCGGAUUGGGGUCUGCAACUCGACCCCAUGAAGUCGGAGUCGCUAGUAAUCGCAGAUCAGCAAUGCUGCGGUGAAUACGUUCCCGGGCCU